rnacentral:rRNA from 1 species
UACAGAGGUCUCAAGCGUUGUUCAGAUUCAUUGGGCGUAAAGGGUGUGUAGGUGGCGCGCUAAGUCGGGUGUGAAAUUUCGGAGCUUAACUCCGAAACUGCAUUCGAUACUGGCGUGCUUGAGGACUGGAGAGGAGACUGGAAUUCAUGGUGUAGCAGUGAAAUGCGUAGAGAUCAUGAGGAAGACCAGUGGCGAAGGCGGGUCUCUGGACAGUUCCUGACACUGAGACACGAAGGCCAGGGGAGCAAACGGG